rnacentral:lncRNA from 1 species
CUUUGCCAAUAAGAUAUCAUCUAUAUUUCUCACCAAUAGGGUCCUGGAUUUGUCUGAAACAGCAAGAAAAAAACAUUCGCAACUCUUACAACCUACUUUGCUAAGUGUGGCCAUUUGCUCCUGUUCUGAUCAAAGAAAUGGAAGUAGAAAUUGACUCAGUUAAGAUUUUAGGAAAAGUAUUGCCUUCCUGAUAAAAAAGGACAGACUCAGCCAGCUUAUCUCUUUUGCUUUUUAUCUUCCCUCUUCCCACACUCUCUGCUCUUUUUUCUUGGAAUUGGAUGUGAUGCUCAAAGGGAAAAACAAUAAAAGCCAUCUCAGAAGAAAGCCAUAAGGAAGAAAGUCAAGCAGUAAGGGAAUCAAAGCAGAAAGGGUCAAUCUGAAGAGUAACGAGAGGAAGAUAAAAAGCAUGGGAAGAGGAUCUCUGUGCCUUCUUCCCAAGACAGCAUCCAAUAAAAAUGCUGAAGAAACUAUUUGCAGAUUUCCAAUAAGAUAAGAAAUCCUUCCUUCAAAUGCAAAGAAAAAAUCUUUUUAUUCAUUCAACAAAUAUUUAUUGAAUGCUGAUUCCAUCAGGCUUGGUGCCUUUAAUUAUAUAAUUUUUCAUUGUGCAUUUAUGAGUUUACACCAUACAGGUUACACGUGGCAAGCUUUUACCCUGGCCUGACUUUCCAGCCAGCCAACAUGUUUCUCCGCUCCUUCUCUCUCCCCAUAUACUUGUCUUUCCUUUUCUCCUACUCUCCUUUCAUCCAACUGCUGCCAAAUAUCUUCCAAAUGCAGAAGGACUACAAACUAAUUUUACUAUUAGCUUAAGCAAAGCAAAUAAGAUGUAAAUCCUCUGCCAAAAAAGUCAAAGAGUGCAUUCCAAAGUCCCAUUUUUAUAAGCAAUUUUUAAAUAAUCUUUGAUUCAUGACACUGUUCUUCUUCCAUUAACUGAGAGUUAAUUACGUGACCUCUUCUUUUUACCACCUGAGAUUCUAGAAUUAAAUUCAGCAUGCUAAGAGUUCCUGUUACUUUCUGCUGGGGUGAACAGCCACCAUUAUUAUACUAAAAUACACAGAAAGUCAGCUCAGUUCAUUAGCACCUCUACCCAAUCCCACCCGCAGUUUGCUUGGUGCUUGUAUAUGACCUUUGAGAGUUCCCAUGGCACAGGCAACUUUCUGGAUCACUAAGUCCAUAUGUCAGCACAAAAUUUCAUGAAAACCACAGGUGAAAACAUGGUGAAGUAGCUCUGAAACUAAUAUUGUAAGGAUCCAAAUUGAUAUCCAGAGAUAGAGCAUCUCAUAACCCAAAACUUGUGCCAGGAAAUUCUUCUAGUCCAUUUAACCUUUGCUGCCUCUCCAAGUCUCUCCCUCUCAUUGAGAUGUAUCUGCUUGGUUCUCUAGAAUUAACUCUCCUAGGCAUUUGUUUUCACAAACCUUUAAUUCGUAUCUUUUUUUUCUCUUCUUCUCUUUCUCCUCUUCUUCCUCUUCCUUCUUUCUGUUUCCUUCUUUUAUUCUUCUGAUUUCCAAUUAUUUUUAAAAUCCCAUGCCUUUCUUUUCUCCAAAUGACAUUUGCUAAUGCUGUCAAAUGAAGUCCAAAACUAAAUUUAAUUUUCUGAUUGCCACUAGAGAUGUUAUGCACACAAUGCUGCCAGAGUGUCCUUCCAACAUGUAAAUAAGAUCAUAUUACUCUGCUGCACAAAAUUCUUCAACUAUCCUUAUUAGGAUCUCAAAGUUAAAUCAAGCUUCUUUACCAAGGCCUUCAUGUAUUCAUUUGAUCAAAUGAAUGUAUAUUUACUGAGAGACUAUUAUGCAUGAUUCUAACACAUACAAAUAUAAUAUUAAACAAAAUGUCAUGCUUGCUUUGGCAGCACAUAUACUAAACUGGAAUGAUUCAGAGAAGAUUAGCAUGGCCUUUGCACGUGGAUGACAUGCAAAUUCAUGAAGUGUUCCAUUAAAUCAAAAUGCCUUAUAUCCUCAUGGAAUUUACAUUCUAGUACGGGGAGGCAGGGGAGAGACAGAGAAUAUAAUUUUUGGUAUAAAAUAUGAAGAAAAUAAAAAAGUUAUAAGGGGAAAGAGUGACUAAAGGAGGGACCUCUUUAGCUAGGAUGGUUAGGGAAGGCCUCUCUGAGGCAGUGACAGUUGACCUGAGACCUGAAUAACAAGAAUAAUAAACUCUUAAGAUUAAAUUGUUAGUUACCU